UAAUAUUCUUUACUGGGCUAGUUGAGUUCACCCUUUUCCUUUUUGUUCCAUUUUUCUUCUCAGGAGGCGAGAAUGUAGCGAGUACGAGUCGGGGUAUGGAAUGAUGGUUUUAGAGAGUUGUUUAGCAGUCCUCACCAUUUUUGUAAAAUAAUGUAUCAAUAAUUAUGAUGAGGAUUUAUUUGUAUGUGGAUAUUGUUUAGAU
rnacentral:lncRNA from 1 species